rnacentral:rRNA from 1 species
UACAGAGGAUGCAAGCAUUAUCCAGAAUGAUUGGGCGUAAAGCAUCUGUAGGUGGCUUUUUAAGUCCACUAUCAAAUCCCAGAGCUCAAACCUGGACAAGCGGUGGAAACUACCAAGCUGGAGUACGGUAGGGGCAGAGGGAAUUUCCGGUGGAGCGGUGAAAUGCGUAGAGAUUGGAAAGAACACCAACGGCAAAAGCACUCUGCUGGGCCGACACUGACACUGAGAGACGAAAUCUAGGGGAGUGA